UACGUAGGGACCGAGCGUUGUCCGGAAUCAUUGGGCGUAAAGAGCUCGUAGGCGGCUUGUCGCGUCGUGUGUGAAAUCUCAGGGCUCAACUCUGACAUUGCAUACGAUACGGGCAGGCUUGAGUUCGGUAGGGGAGACUGGAAUUCCUGGUGUAGCGGUGAAAUGCGCAGAUAUCAGGAGGAACACCGGUGGCGAAGGCGGGUCUCUGGGCCG
rnacentral:rRNA from 1 species